rnacentral:rRNA from 1 species
CAGUCGCCGCGGGAAUACGGAGGGCGCGAGCGUUACCCGGAUUUACUGGGCGUAAAGGGCGUGUAGGCGGCCUGGGGCGUCCCAUGUGGAAGGCCACGGCUCAACCGUGGAGGAGCGUGGGAUACGCUCAGGCUAGAGGGUGGGAGAGGGUGGUGGAAUUCCCGGAGUAGCGGUGAAAUGCGCAGAUACCGGGAGGAACGCCGAUGGCGAAGGCAGCCACCUGGUCCACUUCUGACGCUGAGGCGCGAAAGCGUGGGGAGCAAACCGGAUUAGAUACCCGUGUAGUCCCUGUCUCUUAUAC